UUCGAUUUCAUCUUAAGCGCAAAAAUUUUCUUUAAAAACAAAUUGUUAAAUAUGCAUUACAAAUUGAUAUCAUUGAUUUUAUUUUUGUUGUGUAUAUGCGAAACAAAGACGUCAAUUGACCAUACAAAUUAUAUUCGCUCAAAAUCAAAUCAUUUAGUUGUGAAUAACAAGAAUGACUUUACAAAUGAUCUCAUACCAAAAGUGUUUGAGAAAAGUGUUUCUGGGAAAGAACGCGUGAAGCGAGAAGUCGAAUUUAAUCUUGACGCAGAUCAUGAAGAAGGCAUGGGUACAGAUUUGGCCGCCACUUUAAAUUUCAAUAUAAUCAAAACUGAAAACACCCGUUUGGAUGUGUCUGCACGCUAUUCAAAACAUUUCAGUGACUAUGGUGCCAAUGGUAAAACAAAAAUCGGCGGUUCGCUGCAUUUUAUUAAAAAUUAGUAGCAAAAAAUAGGUGGUAAGCCAAGCGGCUUUAAGGUUGGCGUUGAAGUAGAAUUCCUAUAAAUCUAGAUGCAGAUAUUCCAAAAUUCUAAACAUUGGAAGGUGCCAUCGGAAAAUGAGCUGUACUUAGAAAUUGAAAUAUUCAGCGCAAUGACAUUUAAAACAACUUUACUGCCCAACUUUUAUAUUUAAUACUAAUAAUUGAUGUUCUUUCAUCACUUGAAAAUACUUCUCAUCGAUUUUUAACUCACCAAAAAAAUUCACUCAUAACAAAUAUCGUGAUAAUCUUUAACGUGAGCCAAUAAAAUAUGUAUCUAUUGUAUAAUUGGGUGAUAAUCACCGCA